GAUCAUAAUAGUUGGCCCAAAAACGGACUUUUGCCCUUUGGUGAGGAUCCUCAGGCAAUAGUUUUGGGGUGGUAUUCCAGCACUCUUCUAUGUAUUCAAGAAUAAUUAGUGACUCAGCAAUGGAUUUCCCAUUGUGAACAAGUACAGGUACUUUCUUGUGGACUGGAUUGUGGCUGAGGAGCAACUCACUUUUGUUUUUCAAAUCUUCCUCCACAUACUCAUAGGGUAUGCCUUUUAGUUUGAGGGCUAGCUCAACUCUAGUGCAGGCACUGCUGGCCCAUGUUCCAAUCAAGACAACUUCACCAUGCU